CCCAGUGUGCCCGAAGACCCCCGCAGAUCCCUCCCCCUCCAGAGGCCUGGCCUCCCUCUAGUUGGGUGGACGAAGAAGGAGGUGGUGCCAGCAGGGGGUCACAUCAGAACCCGUGACAGACACCCCGUUAUUCUCAUGCAAUUCGCCAACCAAAAACUGUAUUUCUUAUACUGCCACCAAAUUGUCCCUUGCUUCUAUCAGCCUUGCCAAAACUCACGUACUGAUGGUCCUCAGGAAAUUACAGUUUUUACUGUGUCGUCUUUCACUGGGAGUAAUUUUAACAAAUUCUUCCAGGAUAGUUUAACUUUUAGUAGAUAAAUCAAGCUCGGUGUCUGUAUUUGUUUAUUUGUUUAUGCUUUGUCAAACAGAUGACAGCUUUGGGGGUUUUGACUGGCGCACGCUGAUUCCUGCGACCCUGUACUCGGGGGUCUGGAGCCUUAGCUGGGCACCCUUCCCCAUUUCUGAGGUCCUAUGACCCACCUCCAUGAUUUGAAUACUGAUUUCACUUUUUCCCUCGGUUAAUUUCGAAAGCUCUUCUAACAGCCAUGGAAUCAACAAAGCUGGGGAAUAUUUGUUGACGGUCGUAGGAGAUGUAUCUCAGCACAACUGAACUGGGUCCUUCAGCCAGAGAACAACCCUUUUGCACAGAGAGUAUCAGGGCUGAAAGGAACAUCCAAGUUUAUCUGACAGCUAGAUCGAACCCGCCUUCCUGAAGACCGCUGUCGCUGCAGAUGGCUUUGUGUGCCCCUGGGCCUCCGUCUCUGGGUGAAACGCCGCCACAGCCCACAAGACCAUCGCUGGACUCCUCGCCGGCCGCGUGGCCUCACUCUGGAUGCGACCCAGGUAGAUGAACUGGGCACCGACUGUGAACGGAGCACUGGCUGGGCGCUGGGGAUGUGAUGGUGAACAAGGUCGCAGAUCCGCCUCCGAGAACUCGCCGUCUAGUUAAGGACGACGUGCUAAGGGAAAGCACGUAUGUUCCGUGGUGUUAGGUGCUGGGCGGAAUGAUAAGCACGUAAUGAUAAAUAUUACACAGGUAACAUGACGACACGUACACGUCAUGGGACAAGUACACGUCAUCAGGGAGGGAAGAGGGGGGUAGGUCCCCGGACAGGAGGGGUCCUCGUAGCAAAGCAUCCAAUACCCUCGAUGACUCACUAUUCCAGGUGGGCGCGUCCCUGCUCCACCUUCAGGGACCCUGAUUCCCCGAGUCACUGCCCUGCUGCCCCCUGAGAUAACGUCUUCGUGUGUAGAGUUGAGGCCGGUCGCGGGCCUGUCCCGGGUCCCGCCUGUGGGAAAGGGGGAAAGACAGCAAACCUACGGCAAUCGUCUCCUUUGGGGCAAGCGACAAGUCACACAAGUUUGUUCUCUCGCAAAUCUCGCGUGGGCACCGAGUCACGUGGCCGCACCGGGCCACAAGGGGAGCCGGGAAAUGUAGUCUUUGUGGGGAGACUAGGUGACCAGAACGAAGAAGAGAGUGGACUGGCGCGGUCGGGGGGAGCCACCAGCCCUCACGUGGUCUGUGCGAGGAAACAAGUGGGGAUUUCUUAAUAAGGUAAGCAGGGGAGCCCUCCUUGGGGGUGACUUCCAAGAAAAGACCUGGACAAGGUGAAGGAGUGAGCCAUACAGUUUUCUGGGGGGAAAGCAUUUCCAGGCAUCAGAGACACAGAGUCCCUGUCACCUGCAGGAAACAGGAGGGACGUCUGGGGGGCUGGAGUCGGUGGAUGGUAGGGAGACUGGGGGACUGAGGUCGCAGAGGUGGCCUGGCCGAGGUGGCCUUAGAGUCCUUGGCCGUGACCCGGCCUUUCCUCUGAGUGGGCACAGGCCACGGGAGGCUUGUGAGCAGGGAAGGGACGUGAUGGGCCUCGCAUUGUGCCAACCCUGUGUCCUGCAUGUGGUCCCCCCUGCUCCCUCCCGAGCCCUCUCGGGGCCCCCAGGCACCUGCAUGGCCCUCACCCCCUAGACAUCACCUCCCCCACAGAACCUUCCAUCCACUCUGCAAGACUGCACGGUGUUGGGGGGGGGGGUUGCCUGCCAGGCAUUGGGGCAAGAACAGGCCUGCCUGCAUGGUCCACCUGUGGCUGAGCACACAGUCUGGAGCACAGAGGGGCAAUCAGGAUGUUUCUCUGAAUUAAUUAAUUCGUAUUAGAAGGAGAUUCCUUCCCGAGACUGACAACCCGAGAUGAGCCAACUGACCUCCUGUCUUCUCUGUGGGUCUCCAGAAUCCUGCACGUCCAGGAAAACACACAACCGACCACAGCCUAAGAGCUCAGAACUUGCUAGAACACUACACGGAUGUUGUGUGUGAACGUGGAUCUAGAAUUCUCAAAGCGUCUGAUGCACCUGCCAGCACCCUCAGGGAGGAGACGAGCUGUGGCCUGGGUGGGGACAGUCACCUCGCACACAUCCUGCCGCCCGUGCGAAGUGUCUGGUGGGUACUGCUCGGAACGGAGGCUUCGGGAACGGAGAAGAUGCAUCCUCGUCUUCAACGAGUCUAUAGUCUGCGGAGACAGCUGACAAAUAAGUCUGCGAUUAACGUCACCGGGCAGGUAUGGGAAAGCACAGAGGAGGGGGUGUCCUGGCAACGGACCCUGGAGGUGACCCCGUAAGUCAUAUGAACGUGUGCGUGAGGGGAAGGAGGGAAGAGGGGUUCAGGGGUCGUCCCAGGCGCAGGGAGCAGCCCUCGUGAAGACCGGGGGGCCGGUGGGGGUCGGGGUGGGGCAGAGACCAAGGAGAGAACUUAGAAAGCAGGCCGAGAAGCGGCACGGAAAGUUCCGUAGUGAGAGGGCUCAGUGAGGCGUGCAGGGGAGCUGGUGUGUAAGACAGAGAUGGGUGUGUGUGCGGAAGCGGGAGUGACUUGGGAGGGGCCGCAGAGACGUGGAGACCCCAGCAGCACCAUCCAUCGCAGCACGGCGACGACCACGGGCACCGUUUUCACCCGUCAGACCGACUACGGAUGCACGUCUGACAACAUCAGGUGUUUCGUGACGACGCAGGGAGAGGGGUCCCGGAUCCCGCAGGGAGGACUGAGAAUCGCUGUGUAUUAACCGUGUCUUUGUCUUCUGUGCUGAUACAUAGACACUGGGCCCUUGCCGGCCCCAAACAUUAGGAAGGAGACGAUGUCAGUGCCCGCCCCGCAGGACGCAGGACGGACAGAUCACACCUGGGAAGUGUCCAGACAAGCAGAUCCGGGCACGUUCGCCGCAGGCGCUUUUGCGACGGCGGAAAAUCGGGAACAGCCUGGCGAACGGCAUGACUGCGGUGUGGGCACCGGGAGGGUCGCUGCAGCCCCAAGGGGGGGGUUCGUCUCCACGUGGGAGCCCGGGGUUGAGUAAGAGGGGCAACUCGUGGAACCAGGUGUGCGGCGAGAUGUGAUUUACGGGGAAACAGUACCGCACAUUUUCUGUGGAAAAACGUGAGCACCGAAGAAGAGAGAGACGUGAUGGACGGCAGACAGGGUCGAGUCCAGGUCAGCGAGAGCAGGUGGAGUCAGCGGGGAGAGGUGGUCCGAGGUACUACCGUUGUAUUUCUAUGACUUUUAUUUUGUUUUCAUUAUUUAAUUUAAUGUAUUUGGAUUUUUUUUUUGGUUAUUAUGGAUUGCUUAGGUGAUUAAAAAUUUAUCUGAGAUGCAGAAGGUGGGGCGCCUGGGGGGCUCAGGGUGUUAAGCCUCCGACUCUCGAUUUCAGCUCAAGUCAUGAUCUCGUGGUUCGUGGGAUCGAGCCCCGUGUCAGGCUCUGCAUCGAGCGUGGAGCCUGCUUGGGAUUCUCUCCCUUUUUCUCUCAAACAAAUUAAAUUGAAAUGAAAAUGCUAACCCGGUUUGCCACUUGGCAAAAAGUCAACCUCUUCGUCGGGCUGUUGGGGUGGCGGCUCUCAUCUCUCCAGAAGUUUCCCACCCCGACCACAUCCCCAGCAGCUGGUGGUUGUUCUCUCCUGGUAACUAGAGUAGGGUCGCCUGCCCACCGUGGCAGACGGGCUGACCCCGUACUGGGCCAGCAUCACUCCCGUAGCUCUACCCCCGCCCCCAGUGCGGGGCAGGCGCUGACGCGGAGGGAGGUACGGGGACGGCGGGGUGGAUCGUCUGCUCCCCGGUGUUCAUUCCGGAGCUCGGGCAGAAGGCGACUUUGUUGUCCGCAGCACAUGGCUUUCCAGAGCCUCUCGUAAGACUCACAGAUGGCAGGACCCAACACCAGUGACGCUCAGAUGAAGGGCAGGAUUCUUUGUUACUUAGAGCCAGAAAUGGGAGGUUGUCGGGCAGGGCCCUGGGGGCUGUGCCCAGGGCAGAGUAACAGCAAACAGGGCUCUCGGGCGCAGCUAAGGUGCGUCAGGUGGGACAUGCUUAGCUAGGUCCCGUGAGCUCCCUGAGGACUGGAUAAUUUGCAUAAUUUUGGAGGGCUCUGGGGUGCAGGGGUUACCCCUGGGACAAUUAGGGGGCAUGCACAGUGACCCAGAGCGUGAAGGAAGGGGUUGGGGUGUGGACCAAAUCCACUGCUCAGGAGAACCGGCCAGCCCUGGGCCAGGGUCUCAAGACUGGGUCAAAACAGCACAAUCAGAACAAAUGUUUUCACAUCCUCCCACAGGGGAGGGAGGACGAGGCUCCGGGGCUGUGCUUAGUGUGACCUCCUCUCUUCUGCCUACUUUCCACUGAGGUCGUGUGGCCAGCGAGUCACAGGGUCCCACAUCGAUGCAGAGGGACCUGGAGGAAUUUGCGGAAGAGAAGGAAAACUUGGGUUUCAGUGGGCGAAGAGCCUGCUAGGCUGAAAGGCUGUGAAUUAACCUGAACUCACCCAUUUCUUUGCUUCUCUCCCCCCCCACCGCUUCCUCUUUGCUUCUCCCCCCUCCUUUGCUUCUCCCCCACCGCUGCCCUCU